rnacentral:tRNA from 1 species
CGGGAUGUGGCUCAGUUUGGUAGAGUACAAGUCUGGGGGACUUGGGGUCGCUGGUUCAAAUCCAGUCAUCCCGACCA